GACGAACGCUGGCGGCGUGCUUAACACAUGCAAGUCGAACGGAAAGGCCCUGCUUGCAGGGUACUCGAGUGGCGAACGGGUGAGUAACACGUGGGUGAUCUGCCCUGCACUUCGGGAUAAGCUUGGGAAACUGGGUCUAAUACCGGAUAGGAACCAUCUUUCGUGUGGUGGUUGGAAAGUUUUUUCGGUGUAGGAUGAGCUCGCGGCCUAUCAGCUUGUUGGUGGGGUAAUGGCCUACCAAGGCGGCGACGGGUAGCCGGCCUGAGAGGGUGUACGGCCACAUUGGGACUGAGAUACGGCCCAGACUCCUACGGGAGGCAGCGGUGGGGAAUAUUGCACAAUGGGCGCAAGCCUGAUGCAGCGACGCCGCGUGGGGGAUGAAGGCCUUCGGGUUGUAAACUCCUUUCGCUAGGGACGAAGCUUUUUGUGACGGUACCUAGAUAAGAAGCACCGGCUAACUACGUG
rnacentral:rRNA from 1 species